rnacentral:rRNA from 1 species
GGGUGAGUAACGCGUAAGGAACUUGCCUCUUGGACUGGGACAACUGUUGGAAACGACAGCUAAUACCGGAUAUUAUGAGAUUCUCGCAUGAGAAACUUAUGAAAGCUAUAUGCGCCAAGAGAGAGCCUUGCGUUCCAUUAGCUAGUUGGUGGGGUAACGGCCCACCAAGGCGACGAUGGAUAGCCGGCCUGAGAGGGUGAACGGCCACAAGGGGACUGAGACACGGCCCUUACUCCUACGGGAGGCAGCAGUGGGGAAUAUUGGACAAUGGGCCACAAGCCUGAUCCAGCAAUUCUGUGUGCACGAUGAAGGUCUUCGGAUUGUAAAGUGCUUUCAGUUGGGAAGAAGAAAGUGACGGUACCAACAGAAGAAGCGACGGCUAAAUACGUGCCAGCAGCCGCGGUAAUACGUAUGUCGCAAGCGUUAUCCGGAUUUAUUGGGCGUAAAGCGCGUCUAGGCGGAAAAAUAAGUCUGAUGUUAAAAUGCGGGGCUCAACUCCGUAUUGCGUUGGAAACUGUUUUUCUAGAGUACUGGAGAGGUGGGCGGAACUACAAGUGUAGAGGUGAAAUUCGUAGAUAUUUGUAGGAAUGCCGAUGGAGAAGUCAGCUCACUGGACAGAUACUGACGCUGA